GCGCUGGGCGGCAGGCUUACACAUGCAAGUCGAGCGGGGAAAGGUAGCUUGCUACCUGACCUAGCGGCGGACGGGUGAGUAAUGCUUAGGAAUCUGCCUAUUAGUGGGGGACAACAUUCCGAAAGGAAUGCUAAUACCGCAUACGCCCUACGGGGGAAAGCAGGGGAUCUUCGGACCUUGCGCUAAUAGAUGAGCCUAAGUCAGAUUAGCUAGUUGGUGGGGUAAAGGCCUACCAAGGCGACGAUCUGUAGCGGGUCUGAGAGGAUGAUCCGCCACACUGGGACUGAGACACGGCCCAGACUCCUACGGGAGGCAGCAGUGGGGAAUAUUGGACAAUGGGCGCAAGCCUGAUCCAGCCAUGCCGCGUGUGUGAAGAAGGCCUUUUGGUUGUAAAGCACUUUAAGCGAGGAGGAGGCUACUUGGAUUAAUACUCUAGGAUAGUGGACGUUACUCGCAGAAUAAGCACCGGCUAACUCCGUGCCAGCAGCCGCGGUAAUACAGAGGGUGCGAGCGUUAAUCGGAUUUACUGGGCGUAAAGCGUGCGUAGGCGGCUUCUUAAGUCGGAUGUGAAAUCCCUGAGCUUAACUUAGGAAUUGCAUUCGAUACUGGGAAGCUAGAGUAUGGGAGAGGAUGGUAGAAUUCCAGGUGUAGCGGUGAAAUGCGUAGAGAUCUGGAGGAAUACCGAUGGCGAAGGCAGCCAUCUGGCCUAAUACUGACGCUGAGGUACGAAAGCAUGGGGAGCAAACAGGAUUAGAUACCCUGGUAGUCCAUGCCGUAAACGAUGUCUACUAGCCGUUGGGGCCUUUGAGGCUUUAGUGGCGCAGCUAACGCGAUAAGUAGACCGCCUGGGGAGUACGGUCGCAAGACUAAAACUCAAAUGAAUUGACGGAAGGGCG
rnacentral:rRNA from 1 species